CCUACGGGUGACAGCAGUCGAGAAUCAUUCACAAUGGGGGAAACCCUGAUGGUGCGACGCCGCGUGGGGGAAUGAAGGUCUUCGGAUUGUAAACCCUGGUCAUGUGGGAGCAAAUUAAAAAGAUAGCACCACAAGAGGAAGAGACGGCUAACUCUGUGCCAGCAGCCGCGGUAAUACGGAGGUCUCAAGCGUUGUGCGGAAUCACUGGGCGUAAAGGGUGCGUAGGCUGUUUCGUAAGGCGGGGGUGAAAGGUGCGGGCUCAACCCGCGGACGGCACAUGAUACUGCGAGACUAGAGUGAUGGAGGGGGAACCGGAAUUCUCGGUGUAGCAGUGAAAUGCGUAGAUAUCGGGAGGAACACUCGUGGCGAAGGCGGGUUCCUGGACAUUAACUGACGCUGAGGCACGAAGGCCAGGGGAGCGAAAGGGAUUAGAUACCCCUGUAGUC
rnacentral:rRNA from 1 species